rnacentral:snRNA from 10 species
GUGUUCGCUUUGGCAGCACACAUACUGAAACUAGAACUAUACAGUGAAGAUUAGAACGGUCCCUCCGCAAGGAUGACAUGGAAAUUCAUGGAGUGUUACAAAUUUUU